rnacentral:rRNA from 1 species
AAAUUGAAGAGUUUGAUCAUGGCUCAGAUUGAACGCUGGCGGCAGGCCUAACACAUGCAAGUCGAACGGUAACAGGAAUCAGCUUGCUGAUUCGCUGACGAGUGGCGGACGGGUGAGUAAUGUCUGGGAAACUGCCUGAUGGAGGGGGAUAACUACUGGAAACGGUAGCUAAUACCGCAUAACGUCGCAAGACCAAAGAGGGGGACCUUCGGGCCUCUUGCCAUC